UCUUUUCUUUGGUAUUUAGUGAUUCAAUUUUGUUCCAGUCUGAUAACUGUGUGCAGAGUUGUUGUCUUUGGACAUAGAAAAUUCACUGAGAUAGUCAGAAUUCAACAAGUUUUUACGUUUUGCUGGAAGAUUUUGUCUCGAUAUUUUUAUGUAGUUUACAUUAUGACAAAUUAUAGAUCAAAUUUUUGUUCCAUUACAAUGAAUUUGUAACGGGUUGGGGACUAUGUAUUGCCAUGUAUUACUCGCA
rnacentral:lncRNA from 1 species